rnacentral:lncRNA from 10 species
AUUCUCCUGCCUCAGCCUCUCUGGUAGCUGGGAUUACAGGACUACCGUGAGGAUGGAUUGGACAUUACACCACACUGGAAAAGUGAAACAUCUCAUUCAGUUGGUGAUCUUCCUGUCAUGAAAGUUGCUUGACAGCUCUAAUUACGAAUUGAACACAUUAAACACCUGGUGAAAUUAUCAAUUAAAAACAUCUAGUCACCAUA